CUCCUUGGCUGUCACCUUGGCUGCGGAGUUGCUGCAGGGCACGAUGCCGCCGCCGCCGCUUUAGCUGCCUGCCAGCGCUGUGGGUGGAAAUAACGGUAGGAACUUUAUUAGGAGCAACUUUCUCUGUCCCGCUUCUUGGGAAAAGAGGAAAGGAAAGGAAAGGAAAGGAAAGGAAAGGAAAGAAGGAAAGGAAAAGAAAGGAAAAGAAAGGAAAGGAAAAGAAAGGAAAGGAGGAAAGGAAAGGAAAGGAUUAAAAGUGUGGUUUUGCCUCCAAUCUGAGUCUUUAAUUGCAUCAGGAUUCAACCUUAGAAGGUGGCCCAGGAAAAGACAAGGUGGAUCCUUGAGUCUUGGCCCUAUCCCGAACCCAUGAACUUGGGUGGUAAGAGUUCUGGGCAACUUAAGGAUAUCAAGGCAGAGAAGUGGCUUGGGGAGUGCAAAGAUUACUUCGUUCAUGUCCUGGUCCUGACUCAAGAGCACUCCUCCAACAAGACCCAGGAGGAAGCAUUUUUGAGCUGAGGGGACCCAGUGAGAUGCUGGGCAAUCCUAUCAUUUAUGUCCUGCCCUGGACUCCGUUGACUCUAUCCCAAACCAGGAACCUUCUCAGCUAGUCUUCAAUAACACCUUCUUGAGAAUAUCAGGAGAGAAGUUGGACAAGAUUAGGCCCAGCUGCACACAACUAUUAGUAUUUACGGAUGUAAAUACUUAAUCUGGGCUUGGUAUAAAACCACUGGAAUAUUGCUAUUCUAUGAAAGAAUUCAUGGAUAGAAUUCUCCGCCAUAAAAACAUGUCUGCAUUUGAUUUGACACAUCUUCUGACAUAACUUGUCUGCUCUUUCCGAUGCUGCCAUUUUGAUAUAGCUGUCCUAUUCUUCAAGCUGAAGCUGAGGCUCAAAUAGUUUGGCCACCAAAUGAGAAGAGAGGACUUGCUGGAAAAGACCCUGAUAUUGGGACAGAUUGAAGCAUUCUUCUUGUAUUAUGGCACCCCGAAUUGGAUUCAAUAUGCCAGAUGAGGUCUGUCCAGGGCAGCAUACAAGCAAAACUUUACUUCCUGUGAAAUUGACAGAUGUCUAUUGAUGCAGACCAAGAUUGCAUUGGCUUUUUUGACAGCAGCAACACACUGUUGACCCAUGUCCAUUCGGUUAUCUAUCAGGACACCCAGGUUCUUCUUAGAAGUACUACUGUUGAUCCAGGUUCCAUCUACAUUGUACCUCUAUAUGUAUAGAAGUCUACAUUGCUUGCAAUUUUGUUGGAAAAGAGCCAAAGUCUAUCAAGAUCUUUUUGACAUUGAGCCUGUUUCCUGAAGUGUUAGCAAUCUUUUCCAUCCCCAACAAGCUUCACAUCAUCUACAAAAUUGCUGAGCAUCCCCUUUAUCCUUUUUUUAAAAAAAUGUUGAUAAAUACUGUGCCAGGACAGAAUCCUGAUGCAUAUUUCUUUUCAUGGAGACAUACUGGUACAUUCAUUGAGGACCAUAAAUUGGCUAUGGUUAUUCAACAAUCCAUUUGGUAGUGGCAACAUCACACUGUUCUAUUUAAUCAACAUAAAACUUGUUUUUUAACACAGUCAUACUGGUUUCUAAUAAUCACUUUCUUCCUUAUACACUCACUGCUUGAUUAUCUUUUCUAGCAUUUUCUCAGGUAUUGAUGCCAAAACUAACUCAAAGGCACACCACAGAAAUGGGCAUAUCAGUCCACAGGUUAUUAGUUCCUUAUUUUUAUUGUACUGGGUAUGUUUUAAAUUGUAUGCCAUCCAGAGUCCAUCCAUCCACUAGAUAUAAUAAAAAGAUAUUAUGAUUUGUUACCUUGUGGUUUUCUGCAUUCUCCAUGGCAAAAUAUGAUGGCAUUCCAGUGACAAGAACUCCUAGUAAGACAGCUUCAAAAUACAGCACAAUAGUGAAAACUGUGUCAGUGAUUUCCUGA